rnacentral:lncRNA from 1 species
AUGCUUUCUGCUUGUCUUUGCCUUCAAACAAAACCAUGUUCAAUGGAGACAGAUAACAGGAUUUCCCCUAGGAAUGCACUGAAAUACUGUUAUGUCUUUGCCUGUUCUUGGCUGAUUGAGAUAUUAAUUAAUUAUAUGAAUAAGCCUAGGAAAAUAAAGGUAGGUUUCUCUCUUAAUUCAUGUGAGUACUGGGCCUAAUGCUUCAUACAUGGUGUUGGGCAGUAGUUACUUUGCUGUGUGACCUUGUUCACUCCAUAGUGUCCUUGUUGGGUGGGGCAGAUGCAAAGAAGAAAGGGAGUUGAACAGGGAGAGGAGAGCUGUGCACAGUGUUGGGCACCACCGCUGGCUUCUAGCAAGUGCAAUACAGGAUUAGUGCUCUGAGGGACACAUGUAUCCUCUCAGGUCCCAGCCACUGGGUUGCCAUGUAGCUAGAAACUUUUGUCAUGCAGCAAUCCCAGUGUUCUGGCAUUUAUUUGGCUCAGUUUUGCAUGAGUCAGUCAGGCUGGGCUUAGUGCACUGAUGCUGCAUCCUCAUCCUGUGCUCAGGGCUCACUCAUCAGAAUCACAGUCACAGAAUCAUGUAGGCUGGAAAAGACCUCCAAGAUCAUCGAGUCCAACCCAGCACCACUGUGUUCACCACUAAACCAUGUCCCUGAGUGA